CAAUACCAUGCCAAAUUUUACUUUGAUUUGACUAGUUAAUCUCUAAAUAUCACAGAAACCCUAUCCAACUUCAAACUGCCAACUUCGACCAUCCUCUUAUACUAAAAUUCAAAUAUCUCUAAACCACACUAUUAGAUUAUCACAAAAUUUUGUAUACACUUAGCACACCCAAUAAUCCAAACAAUAUCAAAUUUUUAAUUAUAGAUGCU
rnacentral:lncRNA from 1 species